ACUUAAAUAGUUUAUUAAAAUAUCAAUUUGUGGAAUUGAAGAAAUGAUUAUUUCAUUUUAAGUA
rnacentral:tRNA from 1 species